rnacentral:rRNA from 1 species
UGUGACCUACGGGACGCAGCAGUGGGGAAUAUUGCACAAUGGGGGAAACCCUGAUGCAGCAACGCCGCGUGAGUGAAGAAGUCAUUCGUGAUGUAAAGCUCUAUCAGCAGGGAAGAAAAUGACGGUACCUGAGUAAGAAGCCCCGGCUAACUACGUGCCAGCAGCCGCGGUAAUACGUAGGGGGCAAGCGUUAUCCGGAUUUACUGGGUGUAAAGGGAGCGUAGACGGCCAGACAAGUCUGAAGUGAAAAUCCAGCGCUUAACGUUGGAAGUGCUUUGGAAACUGCCGGCCUGG